AUGUCCUUUAUGCCGUGGUGCUGUACUAGAGUGGGAAGUUGUAGAUGAGGCAAGAAAAUAUCUAAACUUGAAGAAGCGGAGUUGCUCUAGAGAAUCAUGCUCAUUUGUUGGAAACUACCAAGAAUUGCGUAGACAUGCUAGGAGGAUUCACCCUACAACUCGACCCUCUGAUGUUGAUUCAUCCAGAGAACGAGCUUGGAGAUGCCUUGAGCGGCAGAGGGAAUAUGGUGACAUUGUCAGUGCCAUUCGUUCAGCCAUGCCAGGCGCUGUUGUAGUUGGGG
rnacentral:misc_RNA from 1 species